rnacentral:rRNA from 1 species
GUCUACGGCCAUACCACCCUGAACAUGCCUGAUCUUGUCUGAUCUCGGAAGCUAAACAGGGUCAGGCCUGGUUAGUACUUGGAUGGGAGAUA